AUCGAUGAAGAACGCAGCGAAAUGCGAUAAGUAAUGUGAAUUGCAGAAUUCAGUGAAUCAUCGAAUCUUUGAACGCACCUUGCGCUCCUUGGUAUUCCGAGGAGCAUGCCUGUUUGAGUGUCAUUAAUAUAUAUCAACCCUUCUCUUGUUGAAUGGUUUGGAUGUGGGGGGUUUGCUGGUCUCUUAUAUAGGGUUCAGCUCCCCUGAAAUGCAUUAGCAGAAUAACCUGUUCAUUGGUGUGAUAACUAUCUACGCUUUUGAAUGUAAAGGGACAGUUCAGCUUUCUAACCGUCUUUGGACAAUCUAUCAUUUAUGUGACCUCAAAUCAGGUAGGACUACCCGCUGAACUUAAGCAUAUCAAUAAGCGGAGGAAAAGAAACUAACAAGGAUUCCCCUAGUAACUGCGAGUGAAGCGGGAAAAGCUCAAAUUUAAAAUCUGGCGGUCUUUUGGUCGUCCGAGUUGUAAUCUAGAGAAGUGUUAUCCGCGCUGGACCGUGUACAAGUCUCCUGGAAUGGAGCAUCAUAGAGGGUGAGAAUCCCGUCUUUGACAUGGACUGCCAGGGCUUUGUGAUGCGCUCUCAAAGAGUCGAGUUGUUUGGGAAUGCAGCUCAAAAUGGGUGGUAAAUUCCAUCUAAAGCUAAAUAUUGGCGAGAGACCGAUAGCGAACAAGUACCGUGAGGGAAAGAUGAAAAGAACUUUGGAAAGAGAGUUAAACAGUACGUGAAAUUGCUGAAAGGGAAACGCUUGAAGUCAGUCGCGUUGGCCAGGGAUCAACCUUGCUUUUGCUUGGUGCACUUUCUGGUUUGACGGGCCAGCAUCAAUUUUGACUAUUGGAUAAAGGUUAAGGGAAUGUGGCAUCUUCGGAUGUGUUAUAGCUCUUGGUCACAUACAAUGGUUGGGAUUGAGGAACUCAGCACGCCGCAAGGCCGGGUUUUUAACCACGUACGUGCUUAGGAUGCUGGCAAUAUGGCUUUAAUCGACCCGUCUUGAAACACGG
rnacentral:rRNA from 1 species